rnacentral:lncRNA from 1 species
AAUAUGUAAUAUUUACAGGGUGAAAUUUUUUUCUCAGGGGCAUCUUUGAUGUAGCUCCAAUGCCAGCAGCUACAGAAAAAAUAUACCAGAAGAAAGGUUGCAUGCCCAAACAUGUGGUUGCCACAGGGAAGGACUGAUUGGCCCUUCAAGGAUCCCUAUGUGCACAUGAAGCCAUGAAAGCCAGCAAGUAAUGAAGAGUUUAC